CAUGGGGGGCGCCCCCUUGUCCUGCUUCUGGUCGGGGGGGAUGUACUGGUGGUACUUCAGCUUCUUCACUUUGGGCUUCAGCUCUUUCGCCUUCUUGCUGCGAGGGGGCUUCUCCCCCGGGGCCUUGGGCUGGCUUUGCUGAGGGGGGGCCAGGAGAGGGGAGGCACGUGAGCCUUGGCACUCCCUGACCCCCAGCCGCCGCCUCUGACCUCUGCCCCCUGGCCUGCCACAGUCAGCUGUGGGCCUGUCCCUCCGCCCCUCCUCUGGGCCUCAAGGAGCCCGCAGCAGGAGGGAGCCCUGCCCUCUAGUGGGGGAGGGAGGUGGAGAAGAGGAGCCCGAGAGCUCCAGGAGGAGAUGGCACCUUAGCCGGUAUCGGCAGGAGGGGAGUGGGGGCGUCGCCAAGGCCAGCUGAGUCGUGAGGCACCCAAGGCUCCGUGUCUCUCCCCGCCUGCUCAUCUCCCAGGAGAAAGGCCCCAUCCAAAGGAGCCCCAGUGCCUGACAAGGGUAGAGGGAGAACAGGCCGAGGAUGACAAAGUUAGGAACCUGACGACCGGAUGAAGAAGGGGGCAGGCUGGGGAAGCAGGGGAGCUCAGCACAGGACCCCAUGCCCAGGGCCAGGGAGAAGGGCAAACAGGCAGUUAGGGAAUUUGGGCUGGGGUGCCUGAACUUGGAUGUGCCCAAGUGAUCCCCAGAGCCUGACAACAGAUGAGACUGCCCCCGGGAAGGGAUCGUGGAGAGAAGAGCGCAGAGUGCUAGCAUGGGGCCUCCGGACAGGUGCCCAAGAGAUCACUUCCUGGUGGAAUACGGGUUUAGGGUGGAAGCCACUUCUCCCAACAACCACUGCAUUACGGCAUCAGUGGCUGGGGGGGUGGGGAAGGAGCGGGGCUAGAGGACCUCAGCACACAGGAAAGGAGUCUAGAAGGAACAGGACAGGUAAAGACACCGAGAGCCGAGGUGGAAGGGAAGGGAACUGGGAGGACACUCUGGGCCGACCAGCGGAUAGCAAAGACCACCAACAGCAAGGCCAUGCCAUGCCGGCGGCUGGGCUCACGGGCAAAGGGCCAUGCUCGAGUGUCUUGGGGGGUGGAGCUGCUUGGAGGCCAUCAACUUGCUGGACUCCCCUCCCCCAAAAGCACAGAUCAGUGGGGUUCUCUUCACUGGGGGCAGGUUUUUCCUGUGAGUCUAAGUCUGCCUUUCUUCAGCAUCCUCCAUUGCUCUGAAUUUUGCCAUCGGGAGCCAAGCAGAACACCUCGAUUUUCUCAAGAAGACAGAAAUGGAGGCAGCUAGGUGGCACAGUGGAUAGAGCACCGGCCCUGGAUUCGGGAGGACCUGAGUUCAAAUCCGGCCUCAGACACGUGACACUUACUAGCUGUGCGACCCUGGGCAAGUCACUUAACCCUCACUGCUCGGCGGAAAAAAAAAAGAAAAAAAAAAAGACGACACAGAACUUCUCAGUAAAGGAGAAGGGACAGUGUUAUCUACUGAGUGUGCAGAAGACUGAACACUAGUGAGGAAUCCAUGAGAGCAGCUGUGAGGGAGGGUACACGCAGCAGCCCCAGAGUCAAUAAUCCAUAACCACUGCCUAGGUGCCAGGCCCUGGGGGCAGCAGGAGAUGGGCAGGGUAGAGAGGAAAGGACUGCAGGGGAAGGAGCCAUCACUGAAAGAGGCUCGGGAAAGGCUUCCCAAAAGAGAUGGAGUUCUCAUAGGGACUUGGGAGAGGUGAGCAGUCGAGAAGCCGGGGUCACCUGGUCUCAGAAUGAGGGGAGGGUGGGAGCAGGCACCUCAGGAGCAGUUGGGUGGCGGGAGUCAGGAAGCCCUGAGCUCAGCCCCAGCCUCAGACACUUAUGUGCUGCAUCACCCCCCAGGCGUGUCACUGGACCCCGAUCUGUCUCCAUUUCCUCAUCUACAAAAUGGGGAUAAUGGCGCCACCUGCCUCCCAGCACCAGCACCGUGCCUGCCGCACAAAAAUCACUGGUGGCCGGUCAGAGGAUCGCCUGGAGGCUGGAGAGACUGGGUGGGCAGAUGCACCAGCAGCGACUGCAAGAGUCAAGGCAUGAGGAGAUGAAGGGCCUGCAGCGGGGUCGGGCCAGUGUGAAAGGAGAGAGGGGGAUAGAUUCUUCAGAAGUCAAGUGGACAAGAGCUGGCGCUGAGGAAACGCCAUGGGGAGCUGGAGCGGGUGUCACUGACUGAAUGCAACUUCACGAAAAACCCUAAGGUGCCUCGCCCUGGUCUUUCCUAAAUGAACUGAAAACAAUAGGGAAGGAGGAGGACUUCUCUUGGCCAGGAGUACACCCUCCCAGCAGCACAGAGACUCUCACUUCUCAUUAUAAUGAGGCCUUGGCAUGGAAACCCCAGUGCUCUGAGGGAAGGUAGAGAAAACUUGUGAAAUGCCACAACCUCUGAACAAGGUCAGAGAAGCAUCACAGCUGCUGCUGGAGAAGGGCGAGGGGGGCCGAGACGGACAGACGGACACUCAGCUUGGCGCCUCUGUGAGGCCUGCUGGCCAUGGACCCACACAAGAGGAACCUAACCAGGUCCAUGAGAGGUCACGCAGGCUGCAGCCGUCCCCACUCUCCCUGGGCAAGGGCCAGUCAAGCUGACUGCCCUCCUGUGGCACCAGGACCUAUGGCUCCUGUCCCUGUUUUCCGGCCUCAGCAGACAGGACAGCAAAGGGUCCUGGCAUUAGAGGCACGUGUAUAUGGGGAGGGGGCAGCAAUCUCCACAUCCUUUCUAUGCAGGACAAUUCAAUCUCCUCUCCUUCCACUGCAGAAUGUGUUUUCUUUGGAGCUUGGCAGAAGGAGAGCCCUGGGAAGCCAGGCCCACCUGGGGCCAUCUCAGGAAGCAGCAGCGCUAAGAUGUGCGAGCUGCAUGCUGGGGGAAAUGCGGCCAGAGACUUUUGUCCACGAGAGUACUGAGGCUAUCCCAACUGGGCAGGAGGCAUUGCUGAGGGGAGGGUGGGGGGUGUCAGAAAACAAACUCGUGGGGGCCUACAGGAAGUGCUCUGAUGAGGAAAAGGUAUGAACCAGGAAGGGAUGGGAGGGGAGGAAAGGGCACAGACAUGAGGGAAUGCAUGCACAUUUAUGCGUCUCUCUCCUUUGGGCUACCUUUUUUUUGGGGGGGGGGCGAUGAGGGUUAAGUGACUUGCCCAGGGUCACACAGCUAGUAAGUGUCAAGUGUCUGAGGCCGGAUUUGAACUCAGGUCCUCCCGAAUCCAGGGCUGGUGCUCUAUCCACUGUGCCACCUAGCUGCCCCCUAUGCAACCUGUUUCUAAGUGACUCUAGUGGCCAAACAGAGAGUCCUACAGACAGGGCUGAGGAAGCUGUCACCCUCAGUCUGCCCUGCCCUAUUCCAUUUCUCUAGCAAGCACCAAGAGCCAAGGCAUCUUCCAGGGUCGACAAAGACCCGAGCUGCCUCUCAAGGUCCAGGUGUGCCUCAGUUUCCUCUGGCCUGAGAGAGACUUGAUGUGUACUUUGCAGCCCUGCCCCCUCCUGGCCAGCAGGGGCUAAGCACCUCCUUACCAAUGAUGGCCUCCUUCAGACUGGACUCCACAGGAAGGAUGUUCUUCUCCACCAGUUCCAUGGGGCCCGGCCGCUGGGCUAUCUUCUCAUUGAGGUCAUCGGCCAGCCUGGCUCUCUUCAGUUUUAGCUGUUUGGCUUGGAGGGAAGGUUCAGCUGAAGUCUCUGCUCAUGAGAGGAGAGGAGAGGAGAGGUGAGGAGGCAGCAUUGGUACCCCUGGCGCUGUCUUGAGGAUACAAGAGCAGCUUUCCUUUCUCUCUGGGAGACCCAUCUCCCCAUCUGCUAUUCACCUGCAACUUGGGUGGGUCACAGAACAGGAGUUUACCAACUUGAAGGCUACCUAGGGACCAAAGAUCACUGGUUGAGCAUAGGGCAUUAUGGGAGGCUCAGUUCCCAAUGGAACAGAGACAAACUGUGCCCUAAGACACAAGACAUGGCUGCACACUUAUUAUUCAGCUACAAAAGAAAGAAUAAUGACCUGGGGAAUGGGAAGCCUGGCUUCUGGUCUAGCUCUGCCCUGACUUCGCCAUGUGAGCCUCAGGUAACCUCAUCUGCAAACUAACAGGGCUGGACAAGACGGUCGCAUCCAGCAUCAGAAAGGCCUCAUCACAGCAGCAACAUCAAACAGCUGUUUCCAGAGGCCAGCCUGCUGCCUCUCCUUGGUCCAAACCGUAGCAGGAGACAAGGUGGAAACUUGUGAAAACCAAGAGAAGUUUCCCAGAAUGUACUCAUUUGAGUAAAGAGGAUGUACUCAGCACCCAGAAAUGCUGGGAGAAAAUGGCUGAAGACGGGCACAGAAAAAGGAACGGGCACCAAAGGCUGGUGCCUCCCUGAGAUUCUGAAGCAGAACUCCUGCUCCAGGUGGCUCAGCUGGGCCUGGGCUGUGGGAGCACAGCCAGCUCCGUGGCCAGCAACCCGGGCGCUGAGGAGAGGGAGGAGGAAGUCUCAGGACAGCAGUGUCCUGGUCAGGGGCCACCGGGGAUUCUUGGGUCUGUGAAAGGAGGGGCUUGGGCUGGCUGAGCUUUGAGGCCUUUCUCGUAUUAAAAUCCGUUAUUAAUUAA